rnacentral:rRNA from 1 species
UACGGGGGGGGCAAGCGUUGUUCGGAAUUACUGGGCGUAAAGGGCUCGUAGGCGGCCAACUAAGUCAGACGUGAAAUCCCUCGGCUUAACCGGGGAACUGCGUCUGAUACUGGAUGGCUUGAGUUUGGGAGAGGGAUGCGGAAUUCCAGGUGUAGCGGUGAAAUUCGUAGAUAUUCGGAAGAACACCAGUGGCGAAGGCGACUUACUGGACACAUAUUGACGCUGAGGUGCGAAAGCGUGGGGAGCAAACAGG